AUUUUGAGAACAUGGCUGGGAUUGAUGAUAAUGUUGCUAUAAUUGGAGAUUGGGUGCCUCCUAAUCCAAGCCCAAGAUCAUUUUACUCAGCAAUUUUAGGUGAUGACAUCAGCUCAAGAACAAUCCCAGAACCUUCUCGGGAGAAUAGAAUUGAAGGGCUGUUUCCUGGAUCACGAGAGCAGAUGAUAACAGGAAAUACUGACAAAAAGGAUGCAACACAAACUGGUGGUGCUCAGUUUACAGAAUUAGCUCCAUUUUCUGGCCAGAAAUCCAGUUCACGAGGAGGUCUUGUGGAAAGAAUGGCAGCCAGAGCAGGGUUUAAUGCUCCAAGGUUGAACACAGAAAGUAUCAGAUCUGUUGACCUUUCACUGAACCCUGAGAUUCGAUCUCCUUACUUAACAAUACCACCUGGUCUCAGCCCAACAACCUUGUUAGAUUCUCCGGUAUUCCUUUCAAAUUCUUUGGCACAACCAUCUCCAACAACUGGAAAAUUCUCAUUUGUCACAAAUGGUAACAGUAAGAACUCCACAGUGGCUUCUGAGCCUGUUGAUAAAGGUAAAGAUAAUUUCAUUGAAGACUUCAAUGCAUCUUCUUUUGCAUUCAAACCUGUUCCAGACUCAGGAUCCUCUUUUUUCAUUGGUGCAACAAGCAAACAAUCCUUUCCCAGUAUUGAGGUUUCAGU
rnacentral:misc_RNA from 1 species